rnacentral:rRNA from 1 species
UACGUAGGGUGCAAGCGUUAAUCGGAAUUACUGGGCGUAAAGGGUGCGUAGGCCGCACGGUAAGUCAGAGGUGAAAUCCCGGAGCUCAACUCCGGAAUUGCCUCCGAUACUGCCGUGCUCGAGGACUGGAGAGGAGUCUGGAAUUCACAGUGGAGCAGUGAAAUGCGUAGAUAUUGUGAGGAACACUAGUGGCGAAGGCGAGACUCUGGACAGUUCCUGACGCUGAGGCACGAAGGCCAGGGGAGCAAACGGG